ACCUCAGCUGUAGCUUUGAGUUUGUACUGUAUGUGCAUCUGUUUUCUUUUCAGUAAUCAAUAGAUCCUGUGUUGAUUUGUACAGCUGAUUUUACCCGGUGUUCGGUCAUGCAUGUUUUUUCCCCUGGCCUCUAGGCAGAGGGCUACGUGAUUGGGAGCUGUAUAAAGCACAUCCCUAUAGCAGGCCGAGACAUCACCUACUUCAUCCAGCAGCUCCUCAGAGACAGAGAGGUCAGGAUUCCUCCAGAACAGUCUCUGGAGACCGCAAAGGCAAUCAAGCCUAAACCAAUUGAGGUACAGGUGAUCACGCAUCAUAUGCAGAGAUAUGCUGUCUGGUUCGGAGGGUCCAUGUUGGCUUCCACGCCCGAGUUCUUCCAUGUGUGUCACACAAAGAAAGACUACGAAGAGCACGGCCCCAGUAUCUGUCGACAUAAUCCAGUGUUCGGUAUCAUGUCCUAACGCUGGACUGCGACUGUAGAUGCAGUCCUGGAUUCAGUGCUGUGAUCAUCACUCUACUUAUAUAAAAGCAGAAAUGAUUUAGUGUGAGAUCAAAAAGGGAAUAUACUGUAGAACCAACAGGGAUUUCACAUUCAUCACUAAAAAUAUAGACAAGAAGUUCUGUCUUCUUCAGAUUCCUGCACUUGCUGCACCGCACAGGAUCCAUGUAAGAGAAGCCAUACACGAUGACUGUUUCCUCUGCGUCAAGCUCACUUUUGUGUGAUAUUUUAAAUGAAAUUUUAAGGAUGAUUUGAUUUAGUCACUUUGCACAUGGCUUGAAGCUUGUUGUGAAGACCGUGUACAUACAAUAGACACUUCUGUAUUAUGUGAGUAUUUGAAAAUCGGUUUAUAUUUGUAACAGAGGUCAUUGUUUAUGAGACAUGGACAGGAUUAAUAGUCACAUUAAACAAUGCAUAGGUGUGAAAUUAUAUAUUUACAGAAGAAAUGGAAGGACAGGAAGGGGAAGUGAUAUUUAUACAAUGUUGAACUAUUUCAGUACAU